GCCCGGGUGGUGAAAUUGGUAGACACAAGGGACUUAAAAUCCCUCGCCGCAAGGUGUACCGGUUCGACCCCGGUCCCGGGCACCA
rnacentral:tRNA from 3 species